rnacentral:rRNA from 1 species
UACGGAGGGUGCAAGCGUUAUCCGGAUUCACUGGGUUUAAAGGGUGCGUAGGUGGGAUCUGAAGUCAGUGGUGAAAUCUCCGUGCUUAACUUGGAAACUGCCAUUGAUAACUAUGUUUCUUGAAUCUUCCGGAGGUCAGCGGAAUAUGUCAUGUAGCGGUGAAAUGCUUAGAUAUGAACAUAGAACACCAAUUGCGAAGGCAGCUGACUACAGGGGCAUUGACACUGAGGCACGAAAGCGUGGGGAUCAA